rnacentral:rRNA from 1 species
AUUGAACGCUGGCGGCAUGCUUUACACAUGCAAGUCGAACGGUAACAGGCCGCAAGGUGCUGACGAGUGGCGAACGGGUGAGUAAUGCAUCGGAACGUGCCCAGUCGUGGGGGAUAACGCAGCGAAAGCUGCGCUAAUACCGCAUACGAUCUGUGGAUGAAAGCGGGGGACCUUCGGGCCUCGCGCGAUUGGAGCGGCCGAUGUCAGAUUAGGUAGUUGGUGGGGUAAAGGCUCACCAAGCCGACGAUCUGUAGCUGGUCUGGGAGGACGACCGGCCACACUGGGACUGAGACACGGCCCAGACUCCUGCGGGAGGCAGCAGUGGGGAAUUUUGGACAAUGGGGGCAACCCUGAUCCAGCAAUGCCGCGUGCAGGAAGAAGGCCUUCGGGUUGUAAACUGCUUUUGUACGGAACAAAAAGGCUCUGGUUAAUACCUGGGGCACAUGACGGUACCGUAAGAAUAAGCACCGGCUAACUACGUGCCAGCAGCCGCAGUAAGAC